UAACGACAAGAUUUAUAAAAAAAAAUUUCAAAAGGCAAAAAUGAAAAAUGAUUUUUUUUAUUUACUGACAAAACGAACCUUCCUUCAGAACUAGAGUCUCCUUCCUACUCUCUUCAAAACGAACUCGCCGUAGUAUUCGAACUACUCGCCGUCGUUUUAUCAGUCUCCGGCGAUAACGGCGGAGGAACACCAUGCUUCAACAAUCCAACAUCAUCACCACCGUUCACAUCAAUCUCCACAACCACAUCCUUCGAAUCACUUAUCCCAUCCUUCUGAAUCACUCUCAAAACCUCAACGAUCUCAUCCAUCGAUGGCCGUACGUCUCUCUCCUGUUGCAAACAUCGGAAUGCUAAUUCAGCAACCGACGACAUCAUCUUCUUCACCGAAGGAUCUCUCGCGAAUCCGAGUGAUAGAUCCGCGAGCUCAUGUACGGCGUCGUUUUGGAUUUUCGAAAUCGCCAUGUUGGCGAGGUUAAUAUCGUGGCGGUGUCUGGUGAUAUCAACAGCUUCUUUCGAUGAGAUUAGUUCGGAGAGUACGACUCCGAAGCUGUAAACGUCACUCUUCUCGUUUAAUCGGUAACAUUGGUAAUACUCAGGAUCUACAUAUCCUGGAGUACCUUGUGGAGCAGUGGAGAUGUGAGUUUGAUCCAUCGGAAACAACCGUGAGAGUCCGAAAUCAGCUACUUUGACUUGUAUGUGUUACCUGAGGCGUGGAGAUAGGACAAGGCGCUAGCGGUUUCGAUGGCUAUUUGGAGUCGAGCAGGCCAACAAAUAGGGCGAGAUUGUGCUUGGUUUCCAUGGAGAUGUUCAGCGAGUGUGCCAUUGGAGAUGUAUUCGUAUACUAGGAGUAACUCUCUGCUAUGUCUUGUUGUGCAUCCGUAUAGAAUCACUAGGUUCGGGUGUUUUAGGGAUUUCAAGAUAUCGAUUUCGUUCUUGAAUUGUUCCACGCGUUUUAGUGAUCUUUCGAAGAGUCGUUUCACAGCUACUGCUCGUCCGUCUUUUAGUGUACCGUAGUAGACAGUACCGAAGCCUCCAUCUCCGAGUUCUUUGGAGAAAUUUUCAGUGGCUUCCUCGAGUUCUUCGUAGCUGAAGACUUGAAUUCCAGAGUAGACGCUUCCGUUUCCAAGGUUAGAUAUUGAAGGUACAAGAGAGUGAUUGCUGCCAGAGAUUGUUGUGGAGGUUGGAGUGUUUGACAUUGUAUAAUUGCUUGAGUAAGGUGUUGUUGUUGAUAGGCCUUUGUUUGUGUAUUGUGUUGCUAGUUUCUUCCUUCUCCGGAUGAAGAUACAGAGUAAACAUCCGCCGAUAAGUGUGGCACCCAAGAAUCCAGAAGCGAAUCCGAUGCCUAGAGAUAAACGGAAAGACAAGAUGUUCGUAUUAUGAUGCGGUUACGUAGGUAUGUUCUACUGAAAUUAGUUUCCUUGAAAGGAAAAAGGAUGGACACAUACCUAUUUUCCCUUUUUUGGAGAGACCUGCAUGAGCUACCAUGAGAAUAAUAUCAGUUAAAAUUUAAGACAGAAUUUUAGAAUGGUGCAUAAAACAUAGUUUGAAAGUCAAGAGAGUUUCUGAGGAAGAUAAGAGAUCUGGUUCUUAUGGAAGGACAUUAGCCAAUUAGAUUCAGAGACGAAUUUAGGAUCAGAUUAACUUAGGUCAGCUAAAGUAUUCAGUAAAGCAGAUAAAGAUGAAUCAUUACUCUUCUUUACUAUUUCAGAAUAGCAAGUACUCUCGUGAGGCUCAUCCGCACAAUAGCAAACAAAUGCUUUCAAUCUCUGAUCAAAGCCACAAGCGCCCCCUGAUAUUGCGCAUUGGGAACAUUCAUUGUUGAAGCCAAGUUCGAAACCCUCAUCAAUAGCCUUCUUCAUAGCCUCCAGACUCUGAUUUUUCUCUACUGUCUUCAAGGCUGACCGAGAGACUGGAAUAUCGACCCCUUCGCACGAUGCACUCAAUGCAGCUAAGGUAGCUCUAUCCCCAGAAUGUGAAGAGGACGAGACAAAGUAACUUUUCCCACCGAUAUAAUCCUCACAGUUAAGCUGUUUAAUGUAAUCAUUGGGAUGUACAUCUACCGUUGAUUGGCAGUCGUGAUAAAAAGUUGACAGCUUGGUGUCGGGAGAAAAUGGAAGGACAUCAUGGUUGAUAGAUGCAUUCGCAGGAUGCUGAGGACAAAGAUUGUUGCGAUAAUCCAUUCUGGCUAGUCUUAUGAUUUCAAACUCAUAGUUCAUCUCAAGGAUUUGGAACUUAACUGUGGAUACAGUAAGCUCUGCAAAAUCUCCGCUGCAGUUGACCUCGAAAUCUGGGUGACCGCACUCUUUUCUCUCAGAUAUCCAAAAGGGAUAAUAGAGUUCUGACUGGUUUCCGCAUUUAAACCUAGGACUGCAGUGUUUGUGUUGCUCAUCAACAACUGAGAAAACACAAGAGGGGAUCACAAAGAGCAUCCAUAUGAUUGUAUUGGACCAAGAUUUUGUCAGAGACAGAGAAAGAUUGAUCAUGGUGAUCUCCUCUGUUUGUUUUUUUUUUUUUUCUUGGAGAUGAACAAGAAAAUGAAGACAAAGAAUAAGAGGAUGACCUAAACAAGUGCCGGCACAAGAACUUUACUUGGAAAAGCCAGGCAAAGUAGAAAAGGAGAUAAAACUAGACUAUAGAAGAAAAUCUCCAAAGGGGUUAAAAAUCGACUAUGAAGAAAGACUUGACCGUUGUUGGCCCUUCUUUUACUCUCAACUUUCUUAUUCAGUUUCAGAUAAAUGUGAAGGCAUCAAAUGGUAUGUGGACAGAAUGAAGACUGGAACAAGAAAAAGAUUCUUUAGUAUUUACCUCGGAAACUGAACGAUGUUGAUAAAGAUGACAGAAUCUGCAAACCGGAGUUGCAACAUGGUAGGCGCAGAUUCCACCAUUGGUUUUACAUUCUUGACACGGUCUCUCAUCGAUGCUAAGUUUCACCUCAAAUCCUUUUUUAAGAACACUUUCCAAAUUGGUUACAUUCAAAGCUCCUUCCUCUGGAGCAUAACCUAUGGGAACAGUGAUGUUGAAAAUCCCACCACAGUGAUUGUGAUACAAAUCAUCCUGAUGUAUUGAGCCAACACCCUUAUUUGGACAUAUGAAUUUCGCAGGAUAGUGAAGACUAGGGUUGCAGAGGUAGUAAGCGGAGAGGGUCUUGUAGUCUGGCAAAAGCUCAAAAAGUUCAGGAGUCAACGUUGCUCCGCUGAAUGAAGCCGAGCAGAAUGGACCUGAAAAGUCUUGCCUUACUAAUUUAAGAGUACUAGUAGUGGUAUUUACUUCGAGAACACGGUACAUCAGACUUGAGAUGAUUAGAGAAGUCGAAUUUGUUUGUUUUUGGCAGUGAAGUCCUAAAGAUGGAUGACCACAAGGUUGGGGCCGAGCCACUCCCCAGAAAGGGAAACCGGCUGUGAGAUCCCCACAACGAAACAGAGUGUCACAUGGUUCUCGUUGACUUUGAGCACAAGGAAGAAAGUGAAUAUAGGAUAAGAAGAAGAGAAGGACCAGAAAAGAAUUAGGUUUUGAGAAUCUGAAGAGUACUGGAGAGAACAUGAUUGAUAUCUGGAAAGUAGUUUCUUUUUUGGUUUGUGUUUAAAGUAGAGUAGAUGAUAAAUGAUUAAACAAAAAAAAACCAAGUGGAGACAGAAAAGAGCUAGUGGAAUGGUCGAACCACGACUAAGUCAAUAUUGAGAAGGACAGAUACUCAUAGACUUGGAGAACUAAAUGACACGUCUUUGGUUAGUUGACUUUGGAAGACUUUUCUCGUUUUAUUUGUAAGUCAUU
rnacentral:lncRNA from 1 species